GCGGGGAGGCGGAGGGCGCUCGGGCUGCCGCCGACGGGCGAGGGCGACGCGGUCGUCGAGACCGCGCGCGUGGACUCCGGCCCGUGGGCUGCCGGUGGCAGCUCCUCGAGCGACGACGGCGGGUACCCGAUGCAGAAGCAGCAGCAGGGCCCUGGCGGCGCCGACCUCCUCCAACUGGCCAUGUGGCACGGCGGCGGCAUGAUGCAGCAGCCCGAUCGCUGCAAUGGAAGGUCACCGGGAUCGUUGAAGCUUCGCCGCCAGUGCUGCAAUGGAGCGUUGCCGGAGUCGCCGGGCUGCAAUGAAGCUUCGCGGAGCGUUGUCGGUGCUGCGUUGAAGCGCCGCUGAAGUCGCCGGGGCUGCAAUGGAGCGCCGCCGGGGUUGCUGGAGCUGCAAUGGAGCUUCGCGGAGUGUCGCCUGUGCUGUAUUUGAAGCACCGCCGAGGUCGUCGGGGCUGCAAUGGCGGGUCGUCGGGGUCGUUUAAACUUCGCCGUCGAUGCAAUGGAGCGCCGCCGGAGCUGCAAUGGAGCGCUGCCGGAGUCGCCGGGCUGCAAUGAAGCCUCACGGAGGGUCGCCGGUGCUGCGUUGAAGCGCCGCCGGGGUUGCCGGGGCUGCAAUGGAGCGCCGCCGAGGCCGGAGCUGCACAGCUGGAGCUUCACUGGGCGUCACCGCUGCUGCGUUGAAGCGUCGCCGGGUCGUCAAGGCUGCAAUGUCGCUUCGUUGGGCUGUCAUUCAAGCUUUGCCGGCGCGGGUGCUACGGGACGGCAAGCUAGUGCCCUGGCCGGAGCUACGCGCGAGCAUGCGCUGGGAGCCGGAGCUGUUGCGGAGGCGUUGCGGAAAGAAUGAACAGGUGGGGUUGGAGCAAGGACGUGGUCAACUCCACAGAAGAUCAAACCGUCCUAAUCAGGGCGAAUCUACGGCUGGCGAGGCGGCUGAUCCUUUCCCAAGAUCAGUCGACUUACGCCUAGCAGUGGCCGGUUUUAUUUGGCCGCAAUUGCAACGUAGCUCUGCCACCGUUUGUUAGUAUAUACAGAUAAUUUAAUUCACAAGUAUAAACAAAUAAGUUACAAAAAAAUUCCAUGUAC
rnacentral:rRNA from 1 species